AUUGAACGCUGGCGGCAUGCUUUACACAUGCAAGUCGAACGGUAACAGGGUGCUUGCACCGCUGACGAGUGGCGAACGGGUGAGUAAUGCGUCGGAACGUGCCGAGUAGUGGGGGAUAACGCAGCGAAAGUUGUGCUAAUACCGCAUACGUACUGAGGGAGAAAGUGGGGGACCUUCGGGCCUCACGCUAUUCGAGCGGCCGACGUCUGAUUAGCUAGUAGGUGAGGUAAAGGCUCACCUAGGCGACGAUCAGUAGCGGGUCUGAGAGGAUGAUCCGCCACACUGGGACUGAGACACGGCCCAGACUCCUACGGGAGGCAGCAGUGGGGAAUUUUGGACAAUGGGCGAAAGCCUGAUCCAGCCAUGCCGCGUGUCUGAAGAAGGCCUUCGGGCUGUAAAGGACUUUUGUCAGGGAGGAAAUCCCUAGUGCUAAUAACACUGGGGGAUGACAGUACCUGAAGAAUAAGCACCGGCUAACUACGUGCCAGCAGCCGCGGUAA
rnacentral:rRNA from 1 species